rnacentral:tRNA from 1 species
GCUCGUGUGGUGUGGUGGUUAACAGUGUUGGGCUAGUAUCUGGAAGUCCCAGGUUCAAAUCCUCACUUGUGCC